GAUGAAGAACGCAGUGAAAUGCGAUAAGUAAUGUGAAUUGCAGAAUUCAGUGAAUCAUCGAAUCUUUGAACGCACAUUGCGCCCGCCAGUAUUCUGGCGGGCAUGCCUGUUCGAGCGUCAUUACAACCCUCAGGCCCCCGGGCCUGGCGUUGGGGAUCGGCGGAGCGCCCCCUGCGGGCACACGCCGUCCCCCAAAUACAGUGGCGGUCCCGCCGCAGCUUCCAUUGCGUAGUAGCUAACACCUCGCAACUGGAGAGCGGCGCGGCCACGCCGUAAAACACCCAACUUCUGAAUGUUGACCUCGAAUCAGGUAGGAAUACCCGCUGAACUUAAGCAUAUCAAUAAGCGGAGGA
rnacentral:misc_RNA from 1 species